GGAAUUGCUAGUAAUGGCAGGUCAGCAUACUGCCGUGAAUACGUUCCCGGGCCUUGUACACACCGCCCGUCACACCAUGAGAGUUGGGAAUACCCGAAGCCUGUGAGCUAACUGUAAAGAGGCAGCAGUCGAAGGUAGAAUCAAUGAUUGGGGUGAAGUCGUAACAAGGUACC
rnacentral:rRNA from 1 species